rnacentral:rRNA from 1 species
GCCUAAUACAUGCAAGUCGAGCGCAGGAAACCAGAUGACCCCUUCGGGGUGAUUCUGGUGGAAUGAGCGGCGGACGGGUGAGUAACACGUGGGCAACCUGCCUGUAAGACUGGGAUAACUUCGGGCAACCGGAGCUAAUACCGGAUAGUAUUUCCUUUCUCCUGAUUGGAAAUGGAAAGACGGUUUCGGCUGUCACUUACAGAUGGGCCCGCGGUGCAUUAGCUAGUUGGUGGGGUAAUGGCCCACCAAGGCGACGAUGCAUAGCCGACCUGAGAGGGUGAUCGGCCACACUGGGACUGAGACACGGCCCAGACUCCUACGGGAGGCAGCAGUAGGGAAUCUUCCGCAAUGGACGAAAGUCUGACGGAGCAACGCCGCGUGAGCGAUGAAGGCCUUCGGGUCGUAGAGCUCUGUUGUUA